CUUUAAACUUCAGGCAUAGCAACAUGCACAGAGUGCUGAUAGGCUGUAGAUCCUCCCUAGAUAGGGAGAAAGAGGCUGACUGUGAUGUCUACGAGUGUCAGUGUCUGAGCUUCUUCGAGAGGCGGCGGAUCGGCUUGGAGGAUUAGAGUACUUUGAGAGACGCGGACGGGUUCGAGCUGCUGAAAAUGUCUGGAACUACACAGAGCUGUCAUCUUAUACCUGUCCCAUGCCCCAAUCAGGGCUACAGUAUGAGAUAUCUGAAGACCCUUGUGUCGUGCUACUCUGUACAUUCGCCCGCUGUAAAGGAAUUUGAGUAUGGAGCAUGAACUGAAUGAUUCAGUUGUUGUUCAAAGUGGAACCCUGACACAAUGUCUAAACUGUGAAGAACAACUUCCCUUUGCACAAAUAAGAAGACACAGUGAAGCCUGCUCAAGUUCAUCUGGCAUUUCAGCAGCAAGUGGUCCAGUAUACACCGUUGGUGAACCAAAUCCGGUCAAGGCAGCUCAGCUGUUCACAUACUGGACACUUCAGUCCCACGAGGACAAAGACCUCCUGAGCUUGAGGGAUUCCUUAGUGGAAAGGAACAGGACCAUAAUCCUUUUCUCAACAAUUGCAUCCAAUGUCUUGGUUUGCUGAGCUUGUGUAACUCUACAUUGAAUGAUUUCAAAUAUGUUUACAAGGUGACUCUGCCAUUGGAGAGGGGGUCACUAGUUUUUCCCCAGGUCAGUCAAAAGGACAUCUGUUUAUUUAUGAAGACCUUGCUCUUUGAGGGUUCAUCAGAGGCCCUGAAGAGUUUGUCCGAGGUCCUGAAGAGUGCUUUUUUUAACCUGAAGCUGUCGAAAAAUACUAUGACUUAUGAGGAUUUUGAAAAAGAUCAGAUGGCAAGCAUCUCCUCAUCCUACUCUGGGUUUGGUCUGUUUUGAUUCAAAGCCCUGCAGGAAGACACAAUUCUUCACAUCAGCUCAAAAGUUUUAUAGAGCUUUUUACUUUGUUAUUUGAUAUACUUUACACUAGGUAUAGAGUUUAGUAAACAGUGAUACAGACACUUUGAUAAAGUGGCUUACAUUUUACAUUCUACAUUCUAACGGUAAUGGUUAACCAAAAAAAUCAAAGCUGUACAAUUUGAAAGAUUAGAGAGAGCUAGAUUAAAGGUAUUGCUCACUACCUCGUCAAUUCCCAAUGGCCUUGCAGGCAGAUGCAUUCUAGAUCCUAUUGGAGGAGGAACCUGAAGCUGGGGCCAGUUCAAAGGCCUACCCUCCAUAUCUACUCCCAUUAUCCCUAUUUAAAAGUCCUGUCAAUGCUAAUUGUGACUAACAACGCCUCUUUAUAAACAAUUUUACUUUUGAAGCCAGGCGGGGUUUUCCAACUGUGGGAAACAUACUGUAUUAAGGAAUAUUGUGUGGUAUAUCAGAAUUCCCAUGCACUUGUUCUAUGCCUGGCUGCACUACAAGGUGAACUGUAAGGCAAGUUACCCUCAAACUGUACAAGAGACUGAAAUAAAAAAC
rnacentral:lncRNA from 1 species